AAAAAUUUGUUGAAAAAAGGCAAGUGCAAGGAAAAGAAAGAUGAGAAAAAGAAAAACUGCGUAGAAACAUCCGCUUCUACCGAAAAAAAAAGAGAGAAAAAGAAAUGAAAAAAAGAAAAAAAAAGGUAUCUAUAUAGAGAAAUGAAGAAUAAGCACUUGCCUUAGAAAUAGACUCAUGCAUUAAUAUGAAUUUGAGUGAAAAAAAAGAGUCAAGAUUGGACGACACCCCAAAUAAAGUUCCUGCACAAAGAAAAACAACGACAUGAAUGCCGAAUUGUAAAACCUUUUGUAAUC
rnacentral:lncRNA from 1 species